GUGGGGAAUCUUCCGCAAUGGACGAAAGUCUGACGGAGCGACGCCGCGUGAGUGAAGAAGGCCUUCGGGUCGUAAAGCUCUGUCAUCAGGGACGAACGGCCGGUGGAGUGGAAAGCCACCGGAUUGACGGUACCUGAGAAGGAAGCCAAGGUUAACUACGUGCCAGCAGCCGCGGUAAUACGUAGGUGGCAAGCGUUGUCCGGAAUUAUUGGGCGUAAAGCGCGCGCAGGUGGGAUCUUAAGUCCAUUUUGAAAGUUCGGAGCUCAACUCCGUGAUGGGAUGGAAACUGGGAUUCUUGAGUACCGGAGAGGAAAGCGGAAUUCCCCGUGUAGCGGUGAAAUGCGUAGAUAUGGGGAGGAACACCAGUGGCGAAGGCGGCUUUCUGGACGGUGUCUGACACUGAGGCGCGAAAGCCAGGGGAGCGAACGGGAUUAGAUACCCGAGUAGUCC
rnacentral:rRNA from 1 species